rnacentral:lncRNA from 1 species
GUUGGUGUCGGAUCCCGCACCAGAAGUCCGAGACCAACCAAAGAUUGCCACGUAGUCAAGAUAAAGGCCCAUAAAAGAUAAAGCCCGUCGAAUCCAUGAGCCAAGGGGAUAGUCGAAGUGGUUGUCACCACUUCGAGAAUCCGAAGUGAUUGUACUGUGACAUGAGUUCGGUGUAGAAGACAUGGGUAAGUCGGUUCAAGGACACUUGGGCCAAAAAGGCGAGGCCCAUGAAGAUCAGAGUCAACUCAAAUUCAAACGUUGAGCAUUAAAGUCGAAGAAUCAAAACGGACACAUUUAAGAGGGAAUAAUUGUACUUAAUUAUUCAUUUUAAUGUCAAUUCUCUAUGUAUAAAUAUGAAGGCCAAUGGCCAUGUAAAGGGGGAUCUUC